GCCACUUUAGCUCAGUUGGUAGAGCAACGGUUUUGUAAACCGUCGGUCGUCAGUUCGAGUCUGACAAGUGGCUCCA
rnacentral:tRNA from 1 species